AGGCUUAUCUCCCCCAAGAGUUCACAUCGACGGGGAGGUUUGGCACCUCGAUGUCGGCUCAUCGCAUCCUGGGGCUGUAGUCGGUCCCAAGGGUUGGGCUGUUCGCCCAUUAAAGCGGUACGCGAGCUGGGUUCAGAACGUCGUGAGACAGUUCGGUCCCUAUCCGUCGUGGGCGUAGGAAAUUUGAGAGGAGCUGUCCUUAGUACGAGAGGACCGGGAUGGACAUACCUCUGGUGUACCAGUUGUCGUGCCAACGGCAUAGCUGGGUAGCUAUGUGUGGACGGGAUAAGUGCUGAAAGCAUCUAAGCAUGAAGCCCCCCUCAAGAUGAGAUUUCCCAACUUCGGUUAUAAGAUCCCUCAAAGAUGAUGAGGUUAAUAGGUUCGAGGUGGAAGCAUGGUGACAUGUGGAGCUGACGAAUACUAAUCGAUCGAAGACUUAAUCAA
rnacentral:rRNA from 1 species